rnacentral:rRNA from 1 species
CGGAGGGUGCAAGCGUUAUCCGGAAUCAUUGGGUUUAAAGGGUCCGCAGGCGGUCUUAUAAGUCAGUGGUGAAAGCCUACAGCUUAACUGUAGAACUGCCAUUGAUACUGUAAGACUUGAAUUCGGUCGAAGUGGGCGGAAUGUGACAUGUAGCGGUGAAAUGCUUAGAUAUGUCACAGAACACCGAUAGCGAAGGCAGCUCACUAGGCCUGGAUUGACGCUCAUGGACGAAAGCGUGGGGAGCAAACAGGAUUAGAUACCCUGGUAGUCCGCGCCGUAAACUAUGAUUACUCGUUUUCGGCGAUAUACAGUCGGAGACUAAGCGAAAGUGAUAAGUAAUCCACCUGGGGAGUACGAUCGCAAGGUUG